rnacentral:rRNA from 1 species
UACGGAGGGGGCAAGCGUUACUCGGAAUUAUUGGGCGUAAAGGGCGCGUAGGCGGUCGUGUGCGUCAGAGGUGAAAUCCCCGGGCUUAACCCGGGAGCUGCCUCUGAUACGGCAUGGCUUGAGUCCGGGAGAGGAGAGCAGAAUUCCCAGUGUAGCGGUGAAAUGCGUAGAUAUUGGGAGGAACACCAGUGGCGAAGGCGACUUCCUGGCCUGUUCUUGACGCUGAGGCGCGAAAGCGUGGGGAGCAAACAGG